GACGAACGCUGGCGGCGUGCCUAAUACAUGCAAGUCGAACGCUGAAGAGAGGAGCUUGCUCUUCUGGGAUGAGUUGCGAACGGGUGAGUAACGCGUAGGUAACCUGCCUUGUAGCGGGGGUUAACUACCGGAAACGAUAGCUAAUACCGCAUAAUAUUGUAUGACACAUGCCAUAUAUGUGAAAGGGGGAUUUGCUCUACUUUAUGAUUGACCUGCGUUGUAUUAGCCUGUAGGUUAGGUAAAGGCCCACCCAAGCGACGAUGCAUAGCCGACCUGGGAGGGGGAUCGGCCACACUGGGACUGAGACACGGCCCAGACUCCUACGGGAGGCAGCAGUAGGGAAUCUUCGGCAAUGGGGGGAACCCUGACGGAGCAACGCCGCGUGAGUGAGGAAGGUUGUCGGAUCGUAAAGUUCUGUUGUAAGGCAAGAACGGGUGUGGGAGUGAAUGGGUGACGCUGGAAGGUAAGUUUACCAGAAACGGAGGGUAAAUAAGUG
rnacentral:rRNA from 1 species